AGCAGCCGCGGUAAUUCCAGCUCCAAUAGCGUAUAUUAAAGUUGCUGCAGUUAAAAAGCUCGUAGUUGAAUUUCGGGAUCAAUAUGUUGGUCGUGCCUCGGUACGUACUAGCUUAUUGGUUUCUUCCUUCUGACGAACCAUAAUGUCAUUUAUUUGGUGUUAUGGGGAAUCAGGACUGUUACUUUGAAAAAAUUAGAAUGUUUAAAGCAGGCUCACGCUUGAAUACAUUAGCAUGGAAUAAUGAAAUAGGACGUUUGAUUCUAUUUUGUUGGUUUCUAGGAUCGACGUAAUGAUUAAUAGGGAUAGUUGGGGGCAUUAGUAUUCAAUUGUCAGAGGUGAAAUUCUUGGAUUUAUUGAAGACUAACUACUGCGAAAGCAUUUGCCAAGGAUGUUUUCAUUAAUCAAGAACGAAAGUUAGGGGAUCGAAGACGAUCAGAUACCGUCGUAGUCUUAACCAUAAACUAUGCCGACUAGGGAUCGGAUGAUGUUAAUUUUUUAAUGACUCAUUCGGCGCCUUACG
rnacentral:misc_RNA from 2 species